rnacentral:rRNA from 1 species
UACGGGGGGGGCAAGCGUUGUUCGGAAUUACUGGGCGUAAAGGGCUCGUAGGCGGCCAACUAAGUCGGAUGUGAAAUCCCCAGGCUUAACUUGGGAACUGCGUCUGAUACUGGUUGGCUUGAAUUCGGGAGAGGGAUGCAGAAUUCCAGGUGUAGCGGUGAAAUGCGUAGAUAUCUGGAGGAAUACCGGUGGCGAAGGCGGCAUCCUGGACCGAGAUUGACACUGAGGAGCGAAAGCCAGGGGAGCAAACGGG